ensembl:lncRNA
AACUAAGCAUACUGAUAUGCUCAGUCUUCCUGUAGGUAUACCAGUCAAUUUGUAUACAGGCAUUCUAUUUGGCCCUAGUUUUACAGGGGGUGGAGCUCCUAGUUAUUUACUCCUCAUAGUUCCCACAGCCAAGCUCCUCUACAGUGCGGGAGGUAGAUUUGCUGUCUUGCAGACGUAUGAAAAUGACGCAAGGGAGUUUUUCCUGGAUUGGAGGAGUAUGAGGAUUAGUGUUGCGGUGUGCUUUAUUUGGCCCCUACACAAAGGGCCAGAGAGGACCACAGAGACAUCCAAACUGUGGGUAUAACUAUCUGGCACAGAGCCACCAGAGCAGUAAGGAUCUCUGGCUCCCAAGGAAGUACUGUGACCCCUCAUUCAACAGCCAGUCAGCUGGAGCCAUCACCCAGAACUGUCAGUACAAUACUGAUGGGCAUCGAUGUGAGCGCUACAAAGUGGGUAACUACGGCAAUGCUGCCCAGAGGACCUGUCGUGGGUGUCUUAUCCCUGAAGCUCUAUCUCUUAAUGCAUAUAGAAGAUCUCCUUCGUCACCUGAGGGAGGCGAAAUCUAGUAUACCCACCAUAAAUGUGGCAGUGGAGGAGGUGGCCAGGAUGAUGAAGGAGGUGCAGCGCAUGGUGCAGGAGAUGAGAGAACUUGGCUGCAGUAACCAGACAAGGAGGCUGCCAGGGAGCAAGAGGAGGCUCAAAAAUUAUUGGACUUCAUCAGGAACAAUAUGACAACUCCAUUGGAUGACAACCUGGCUGUAGCCAAUGAGGCGGCAGAGUCCCUGAUGACGUGGGGCUCUGCGUUGAUGAAUCUGGCAGAGGCUGUGGUACAAGCAGAGGAUAUGGUAAACAGGACAUGGAGCCUCAACUCCAGCAGUACUGACUUCCUAAGAGACCUGACGGUAAUGUCAAAUACUGAAGAAUAACAUAUAUGAAAUGUUGUAGAUACAACACAAAAAAAUGUCCCUCCUAUUUCCAAAUAAUCUACUAGCAAUUAAAAGAUGAGCUGGAGAGGAAACGUGAUUCAAUCCAAUCAAUAUGACGAAAGAUAAACUGAGGAAUAUCACAAACCUUUUGUAAAUGAUGAAGGAGCAAAACAAGGUAUGAAGCAGAUGAGGCAUUAAAAAUUUAAUUUAAAUCUUUCAGGAAUACGAGCACCUUGCAGCCGAGGUAGAUCAAAUAAAAUGUAUUUAUAAAGCCCUUCUUACAUCAUCACAGUGAUGUACAGAAACUCAGCCUAAAACCCCAAACAGCAAGCAACGCAGGUAUAGAAGCACAGUGGCUAGGAAAAACUCCCUAGAAAAGCCAGAACCUAGGAAGAAACCUAGAGAGGAAUCAGGCUAUGAGGGGUGGCCAGUCCUCUUCUGGCUGUGCCGGGUGGAGAUUAUAACAGAACAUGGCCAAGAUGUUCAAAUGUUCAUAGAUGACCAGCAGGGUCAAAUAAUAAUAAUCACAGUGGAUUUCGAGGGUGCAACAGGUCAGCACCUCAGGAGUAAAUGUCAGUUGGCUUUUCAUAGCCGAUCAGUAUCUCUACCGCUCCUGCUGUCUCUACCGCUCCUGCAAUGGAACUACAAAUGUAGGUAGACAAAGAGAGGGUUAGGUUGUUCUUAGGUGGGGGCCUACUUCUUCAUACCCCACAGACGUUUCCUAUGUC